AUGGAGAGGCAAACCAAAGUUCUCCACGCAGACGGCCGCAUCAGCUGCAUCUGCAAAAUCAUGAGAACAGAAGAAAAGAAAAGAAUCAUGAGAACAGAAGCAGAAAUGACACUUGUCAGAAGAAAAGGAAACACAGGCUCGACGGAGCAGAUGCAAUGUGAUCAAGAUGGUCCGACUGUCGUCUUACCGGCCGGCGCCGCUGACCAGCCGCAGAUUUUGAUGUCCAGCUUGUUGCAGGCCAUCCUGCACAUGGCGUCGCCACUGACGGCGGCCUGGUUGGGGCUGCACUUGUUGGCGCAGAACACUUUGCAGAGGAAGCGCGGCACGUUGUCGUUCGUGCACCCGGGGAAGCAGUCGUCGAAGCACUUGCAGAACUUGGACUUGGCGGCCACCUCGCCGGGCAGCAGCACCAGGAGGAGGAGCAUGCACAGGGCGGCCGGCCUCGACCUCUUCGCCUCCAUCUCCUUCCUCGUGCAAGCUACGGCCUCUUCUUCUUCAGGAUCAAGGGAGGAGAGAACUGCUGUGGCGAUAGUGUGA
rnacentral:rRNA from 1 species